rnacentral:rRNA from 1 species
UAGUAACUGCGAGUGAAGAGGGAAGAGCUCAAAUUUAAAAUCUGGCAGUCUUUUGCUGUCCGAGUUGUAAUCUAGAGAAGUGCUGCCCGUGCUGGACCAUGUACAAGUCUCCUGGAAUGGAGCGUCACAGAGGGUGAGAAUCCCGUCUUUGACAUGGACUGCCAGUGCAUUGUGGUAUGCUCUCAAAGAGUCGAGUUGUUUGGGAAUGCAGCUCUAAAUGGGUGGUAAACUCCAUCUAAAGCUAAAUAUUGGCGAGAGACCGAUAGUGAACAAGUACCGUGAGGGAAAGAUGAAAAGAACUUUGGAAAGAGAGUUAAACAGUAUGUGAAAUUGUUGAAAGGGAAACGCUUAAAGUCAGUCGUGUCGGCCAGGGAUCAACUCAGUUGUUUCUGCUGGGUGUACUUCCUGAUCUGAUGGGCCAACAUCAGUUUUGACUGCUGGAGAAGGAUAGAGGGAAUGUGGCACCUCUGGGUGUGUUAUAGCUCUCUGUCGGAUGCAGUGGUCAGGACUGAGGAAAGCAGCAUGCCGCAAGGCUGGGUUUUUAACCACGUUCAUGCUGAGGAUGUUGGCAUAAUGGCUUUAAUCGACCCGUCUUGAAACACGGACCAAGGAGUCUAACAUGCCUGCGAGUGUUUGGGUGGCAAACCCGAGUGCAGAAUGAAAGUGAAAGGUUGAGAUCCCUGUCAUGGGGAGCAUCGAUGCCCGGACCUGAGCUUUUAGCAAAGGAUCUGCGGUAGAGCAUGUAUGUUAGGACCCGAAAGAUGGUGAACUAUGCCUGAAUAGGGUGAAGCCAGAGGAAACUCUGGUGGAGGCUCGUAGCGAUUCUGACGUGCAAAUCGAUCGUCGAAUUUGGGUAU